AUGGCUGCACAUCCCUUCUGCAUUGGCACUGUCGUUUCACAGCUGUCACACAUUCCCAUGAACAACAGAUCAUCACUGGCCCUGUACAAGGCAUACUGGGGGACCUGCAGGUAUGGAUUAAAGGUAAAAAGGACAUUUUCAAUUUGCAGAUUAUUUGCUGGCAUUGUGAGUAGAUUUACUAUCUUUGUAAAGAUGGGAAUUUGCUCUUCUUUAUCUGUGUGGUCACCUCUUUCACUUGGUCUUGAAUGCAGCUGCACAACAUGUGUAUAUGGAUCCCAACCAGCACGGCAGAACAUGGGUUCUUCAAGAGAAUUAGGGAUCAUCUCAUCAUUCUGUGCCCAGCAUGAGGAAUUGUGUGUUACUGGGAGGGCUCACUCUGACCGAGAGGUACUGGGAGUUCCUCUACUCUGGGCCUGGAAGGGAGCAAGUUCUCAAGCAAACCUCCAUCCUUUACUGUUAACCACAGAAAAACAUGGUUCUGAACUUCACCCUCUUCCUUCAUCAUGUUUUCUAGAGCAAGUUUUUCCCAAGUCAGACAUUUCCCUGCUGCUUUCUGCUGUCAUUACAGAGUCCAGCUUCUCAUUUACUGUUUUAUUCAAAGGGAGAAGUAUAUUUAUUCCAUAUUCAUACAGAUGUUCAUGUGGCUAUAGCCAGUCUCUGCCUUUUGCUGACAAGCUUGCUGCUUUGUUCUCAGGACACCAAGCAGCUGGCAUCAGAAUACCAAGUGUUUUUGUCUUCUACCCAUCUUCCCUCUUCAUUCUCCAAAUUUUCUGUCCUGGUGGGAAACUUGUCACACAUUGCUGGGCCGAUGCAGAGCUCUGCUUCUGUUCUGUAGUAAGGGAAGUAUCCACUGGAAGAAAAGGGCCGGUUCAGGCCUGGCGGUGUGGUGGGGAGGGAGAAGGAUGGAAGGCAGCCUUCCAAGGUGCUGCCUCCUGGGAGCUGCUGGGAUGUUGGCUCUACAUUGGCCAUGGAAGAACACAGCUUCCUCUCUGUCCCCAGAGCUGGGUGGGCGGUCUGUAA
rnacentral:lncRNA from 1 species